rnacentral:lncRNA from 1 species
CAGAAGGGCUGGGAGGUCCCCACCCCAGGCCCCCUCAUUUCCAAUGAGGCCUACAGAAGACCCAGAAAAUUUCUCAUAGGCCCUGAGGAGGAAAAGAACUGAAAAUGGUGCGAAUUCACAGAAAUCAAGGAUGUAAGAUGAAGGUAUGUCUUCCAACAUACGGCAAUGUCCAGUUGAUUCACUGAACUGAGAAAUGGGUGCAUACCUGUAAAAGAAAGGAAGAGCUAGCUGGAUGAUGGUAGUAACACAGCUAAUGAAAGACAGUUUUCACUGGGUUAGAAAGUCCUAACGGCCAGAGUUCUGAUCUCAUAUGAAAUGAUUUCAAAGUUUGGCUCUCAGUGGGAAAUAAUUUGUCCACAUUCCAGGGAAACAGGAGAAAGCCCCUUAGUUCUAAGAGUAGUACUGACAGUCAUCACCUACAGUCAAAUGAUAUUUUGGGCAAGUCUGCAUUCUUUUAUGAGCCACAAAACCAUAUAGCAGGAACUAAGAUGCAGAGACCCUGUAAUAAAUACAUUCCUUCCACCAGCUCUUAGACAUCGUUCAUAAAUUGUUCCAUUUGACAGUGAACAGGGAAAAUGGAUGAGAAACGUGGCCUCAAGCAUAUAAUGUAUAUGUGGUCAAAGAGUCAUGACCCAUGUGGCCACAUUACCAGAUUAUAUCUUAUUCUCACUUUCUCUACAAUAGGAUAAGCACCAACAGGCUAGAAAUACACUCUUCUCUCCAAUUUAAUUAUACCUUUAUUAUUACUUUUCUUAUAUGCACAUAAGCAGCAACAGCUAAUGUAAAGUGGAAAUUGUAAUACAAUUUCCAUACUGUGUCUUUGUUGUCUACAAAAUUAUAUAAAAAAUGUGUCUCACCCUUUAGUUGGGACCAUUUAGAAGCCUGAGGGCAAUUACACAGAGUGUAUUGGAGUUAGCCGCACAAUCUCCUAAUGGCAGCUUGGCCCAAAGCCAAGCUUUAAGCCAAACCUCAGGGAAUUCAAAUUUAAAAGUCAGCUACAUUAGUGGUAGUGAUUCAGUUUGGAGAAGAUAUCGCUUUUCGUGAUUUAUUACAGCCAGUGCUUUCAGUACAUUUAAAAGAUGGUCUAGCUUAGUUGCAUUUUCAAAGGAGCGCUACUGCAUAAAAUGAGGAACAUCUGAACUGAAAGCUAUCAGAAUGGAAAAGCUUGACUAGGGCUUGAAUUAUGCGGAAAGCGUAAUUCUUAGAAAUAGGUCCUCAAACACACAAGAAUCUGCAAAAAUGAGCUAUACUUUCAACCCCCCAAUAUCUAACCCUCGUGAUCAUUUGGUAGAGAAGGGUCUGUUACUGUCAAGUAUUUUUAAAUGACUGCAAAGACAUUAAUUCCCUAGGUGCAGAAUAAUCAUUCAGUAUCAAGAAUAAACAUAUAAUUUAAAAUAUUAGGUUUUGCAACCAGCUAUAUCAAGAGUUUCCAAGAAAAAUGUAAACAAGGAUUUUGCAGUGACUCCAGCUAGAACGCAUGAAUAUGACUGAGAACAGAAUAUCUCUACUUACUUUAGUCAAUUUUGGAGUAACUAAAUAAGUAAGAUGGAUCUCUACUGAGCUAUCUGGAGACAAAACAUCGUGCUACAUUCCAAAUCACCAAGGGCCUUCCGGCACACACAUCAGAAAGUGAAAUAUAUCUGCCUCGAAGAAACUGGGCAGAGAUGCUUCUACCUUUAGGAAAACAACCCCAUUUUCAUAAUAAGCCUAUAAAUCAUAUAGUUAUUACCUGGUGCCUAUUUGUAAUGGGAAACAUCGUGAGAUAGUAUCGACGUAUUUUUUUUCUGGGAUCUGUGGCUCUAAAGCCCUUUCCCCAGCUCAGGCCACUUCCACUGCCUCAAGAAAGGAAUAACUCAAAGGACAAGAUCAUCAACUCCACUCAUUU